UACGAAGGGGGCUAGCGUUGCUCGGAAUCACUGGGCGUAAAGGGUGCGUAGGCGGGUUUUUAAGUCAGGGGUGAAAUCCUGGAGCUCAACUCCAGAACUGCCUUUGAUACUGAAGAUCUUGAGUCCGGGAGAGGUGAGUGGAAUUGCGAGUGUAGAGGUGAAAUUCGUAGAUAUUCGCAAGAACACCAGUGGCGAAGGCGGCUCACUGGCCCGGUACUGACGCUGAGACGCGAAAGCGUGGGGAGCGAACAGG
rnacentral:rRNA from 1 species